UACGGAGGGUGCAAGCGUUAUCCGGAUUCACUGGGUGUAAAGGGUGCGUAGGCGGGAGAGUAAGUCCGCGGUGAAAUCUCACAGCUCAACUGUGAAACUGCCGUUGAUACUGCUUUUCUUGAGUUCGGGAGAGGUUGAUGGAAUUCCAGGUGUAGCGGUGAAAUGCGUAGAUAUCUGGAAGAACACCAGUGGCGAAGGCGGUCAACUGGCCCGUAACUGACGCUGAGGCACGAAAGCGUGGGUAGCGAACAGG
rnacentral:rRNA from 1 species